rnacentral:rRNA from 1 species
GAUGAACGCUGGCGGCGUGCCUAAUACAUGCAACUCGAGCGAACAGACGAGGAGCUUGCUCCUCUGACGUUAGCGGCGGACGGGUGAGUAACACGUGGAUAACCUACCUAUAAGACUGGGAUAACUUCGGGAAACCGGAGCUAAUACCGGAUAAUAUAUUGAACCGCAUGGUUCAAUAGUGAAAGACGGUUUUGCUGUCACUUAUAGAUGGAUCCGCGCCGCAUUAGCUAGUUGGUAAGGUAACGGCUUACCAAGGCGACGAUGCGUAGCCGACCUGUGAGGGUGAUCGGCCACACUGGAACUGAGACACGGUCCAGACUCCUACGGGAGGCAGCAGUAGGGAAUCUUCCGCAAUGGGCGAAAGCCUGACGGAGCAACGCCGCGUGAGUGAUGAAGGUCUUCGGAUCGUAAAACUCUGUUAUUAGGGAAGAACAAAUGUGUAAGUAACUAUGCACGUCUUGACGGUACCUAAUCAGAAAGCCACGGCUAACUACGUG